AGGCGCGGACAACGUUUCGAAAGUGGGAAUUAAUACCGCAUUUGUGGAACGGGAGAAAGCAGGGGACCUUAUGCCCGAUGAUGAUCAGAGUCCAAAGAUUUAUAUUACAUAGAUGAGGAGGUAAUGGGUCACCAAGUUGGUGAUCUAAAGGCCCUCCAAGAGGAUGAUCAGUCACUGGUGAGAGAGGAUGAUGUCCAGACUCGUGCGGGAGGCAGCAGCCAGGAUUAUUGGACAAUCAGCAGUACGGAAUCCAGCCAAUGGGCGAAAGCGAAGUCCGUCAAUGGAUUGUAAAGCACGAAGACUUGGGAGGAAGUAAAGCUAGAUUAAUACUGGACAAUAAUGACAGUACCGACAGAAUAAGCACCGGCUAACUCCGUGCCAGCAGCCGCGGUAAUACAGAGGGGUGCAAGCGUUUCGGAUACUGGGCGUAAGCGCACGUAGGCGGCUAUUCAAGUCAGAGGUGAAAGCCCGGGGCUCAACCCCGGAACUGCAUCCAAAACUAGAGAGCUUGAAUACAGGAGAGGGGAGUGGAAUUCCGAGUGUAGAGGUGAAAUUCGUAGAUAUUGGAAGAACACCAGUGGCGAAGGCGGCUCACUGGACUGAUACUGACGCUGAGUCGAAAGCGCAGGGAGCAAACAGGAUUAGAUACCCUGGUAGUCCACGCCGUAAACGAUGAUAACUAGCUGUCAGGGCACAUGGUGUUUUGGUGGCGCAGCUAACGCAUUAAGUUAUCCGCCUGGGGAGUACGGUCGCAAGAUUAAAACUCAAAGGAAUUGACGGGGGCCUGCACAAGCGGUGGAGCAUGUGGUUUAAUUCGAAGCAACGCGCAGAACCUUACCAACGUUUGACAUCCCUAUCGCGGAUCGUGGAGACACUUUCCUUCAGUUCGGCUGGAUAGGUGACAGGUGCUGCAUGGCUGUCGUCAGCUCGUGUCGUGAGAUGUUGGGUUAAGUCCCGCAACGAGCGCAACCCUCGCCUUUAGUUGCCAGCAUUUAGUUGGGUACUCUAAAGGAACCGCCGGUGAUAAGCCGGAGGAAGGUGGGGAUGACGUCAAGUCCUCAUGGCCCUUACGCGUUGGGCUACACACGUGCUACAAUGGCGACUACAGUGGGCAGCCACCUCGCGAGAGGGAGCUAAUCUCCAAAAGUCGUCUCAGUUCGGAUCGUUCUCUGCAACUCGAGAGCGUGAAGGCGGAAUCGCUAGUAAUCGCGGAUCAGCAUGCCGCGGUGAAUACGUUCCCAGGCCUUGUACACACCGCCCGUCACACCAUGGGAGUUGGAUUCACUCAAAGGCGUUGAGCUAACCGCAAGGAGGCAGGCGACCACAGUGGGUUUAGCGACUGGGGUGAAGUCGUAAACAAGGGUAAGGAGGUU
rnacentral:rRNA from 1 species